UACCUGGUUGAUCCUGCCAGUAGUCAUAUGCUUGUCUCAAAGAUUAAGCCAUGCAUGUGUAAGUAUGAACUACUACAGACUGCG
rnacentral:rRNA from 1 species